CAGAAUUCGCCUUAGAGUUUGAUCCUGGCUCAGGAUGAACGCUGGCGGUAUGCUUUACACAUGCAAGUCGUACGAGAGUUUUUAACUCAAGUGGCGGACGGGUGAGUAACACGUAAGAAUCUGCCUUUAGGAGGGGGAUAACAACUGGAAACGGUUGCUAAUACCCCAUAUGCUUUCGAGUAAAAUGGAUUUUCCGCCUAAAGAGAAGCUUGCGGCUGAUUAGCUUGUUGGUGAGGUAAUGGCUCACCAAGGCGACGAUCAGUAUCUGGUUUGAGAGGACGAUCAGACACACUGGAACUGAGACACGGUCCAGACUCCUACGGGAGGCAGCAGUGGGGAAUUUUCCGCAAUGGGCGAAAGCCUGACGGAGCAAUACCGCGUGAGGGAUGACGGCCUAUGGGUUGUAAACCUCUUUUUUCAGGGAGGAAUCAAUGACGUGUACCUGAAGAAUAAGCAUCGGCUAACUCCGUGCCAGCAGCCGCGGUAAGACGGAGGAUGCAAGUGUUAUCCGGAAUCACUGGGCGUAAAGCGUCUGUAGGUGGUCAAAUAAGUCAACUGUUAAAUCUUGAGGCUCAACCUCAAAAUCGCAGUCGAAACUAUUCGACUAGAGUAUAGUAGGGGUAAAGGGAAUUUCCAGUGGAGCGGUGAAAUGCGUAGAGAUUGGAAAGAACACCGAUGGCGAAGGCACUUUACUGGGCUAUUACUAACACUGAGAGACGAAAGCUAGGGUAGCAAAUGGGAUUAGAUACCCCAGUAGUCCUAGCCGUAAACAAUGGAUACUAGAUGUUGAACAGAUCGACCUGUGCAGUAUCAAAGCUAACGCGUUAAGUAUCCCGCCUGGGAAGUAUGCUCGCAAGAGUGAAACUCAAAUGAAUUGACGGGGAAGGGC
rnacentral:rRNA from 1 species